rnacentral:rRNA from 1 species
UGGGGGAAUAUUGCACAAUGGGCGAAAGCCUGAUGCAGCAACGCCGCGUGAGUGAUGAAGGUCUUCGGAUUGUAAAGCUCUGUCUUUUGGGACGAUAAUGACGGUACCAAAGGAGGAAGCCACGGCUAACUACGUGCCAGCAGCCGCGGUAAUACGUAGGUGGCGAGCGUUGUCCGGAUUUACUGGGCGUAAAGGGUGCGUAGGCGGAUGUUUAAGUGAGAUGUGAAAUACCCGGGCUUAACUUGGGUGCUGCAUU